rnacentral:ncRNA from 2 species
AAUUUCACAAGGGAGUGCUUCAGCUGAGAUCGCAUCUGCGAAAUCCUUAAAACCUGAUCUUGUUAGUACAAGCGUAGGGAUUGUGACCUAACAUCAA